rnacentral:rRNA from 1 species
AUACGAAGGGGGCUAAGCGUUAUCCGGAUUUACUGGGUGUAAAGGGAGCGUAGACGGUUCUGCAAGUCUGGAGUGAAAGCCCGGGGCUCAACCCCGGGACUGCAUUGGAAACUGUGGAACUGGAGUGCAGGAGAGGUAAGUGGAAUUCCUAGUGUAGCGGUGUAAUGCGUAGAUAUUAGGAGGAACACCAGUGGCGAAGGCGGCUUACUGGACUGUAACUGACGUUGAGGCUCGAAAGCGUGGGGAGC